rnacentral:rRNA from 1 species
AGCAGCCGCGGUAAUUCCAGCUCCAAUAGCGUAUAUUAAAGUUGUUGCAGUUAAAAAGCUCGUAGUUGAAUUUCGGGGUUAGUAGGUUGGUCAUGCCUCCGGUAUGUACUGGUCUCACUGAUUCCUCCUUCCUGAUGAACCUUAAUGCCAUUAAUUUGGUGUUUUGGGGAAUUUGGACUGUUACUUUGAAAAAAUUAGAGUGUUUAAAGCAAGCUAACGCUUGAAUACAUUAGCAUGGAAUAAUGAAAUAGGACGUUCGAUCCUAUUUUGUUGGUUUCUAGGAUUGACGUAAUGAUUAAUAGGGAUAGUUGGGGGCAUUAGUAUUCAAUUGUCAGAGGUGAAAUUCUUGGAUUUAUUGAAGACUAACUACUGCGAAAGCAUUUGCCAAGGAUGUUUUCAUUAAUCAAGAACGAAAGUUAGGGGAAUCGAAGACGAUCAGAUACCGUCGUAGUCUUAACCAUAAACCUAUGCCGACUAGGGAUCGGAUGAUGUAAUUUUUAAUGACUCAUUCGGCGCCUUA